rnacentral:rRNA from 1 species
UACGUAGGAUGCGAGCGUUGUCCGGAAUUAUUGGGCGUAAAGAGAACGUAGGCGGUUUGUUAAGUUUGGGCUUAAAGACUGGGGCUCAACCCCAGGAGUGGCUCGAAAACUGACAGACUAGAGGAUGGCAGAGGAAAGUGGAAUUCCCAGUGUAGCGGUGAAAUGCGUAGAUAUUGGGGAGGAACACCAGUGGCGAAAAGCGACUUUCUGGGCCAUUCCUGACGCUGAGGUUCGAAAGCUCGGGGAGCAAACAGG